rnacentral:rRNA from 1 species
CAGCAGCCGCGGUAAUACGUAGGUCCCGAGCGUUGUCCGGAUUUAUUGGGCGUAAAGCGCGCGCAGGCGGCCUAUCCAGUCUGUCUUAAAAGUUCGGGGCUCAACCCCGUGAUGGGAUGGAAACUAGUAGGCUAGAGUAUCGGAGAGGAAAGCGGAAUUCCUAGUGUAGCGGUGAAAUGCGUAGAUAUUAGGAAGAACACCAGUGGCGAAGGCGGCUUUCUGGACGAAAACUGACGCUGAGGCGCGAAAGCCAGGGGAGCGAACGGGAUUAGAUACCCCAGUAGUCCCUGUCUCUUAUACA